rnacentral:tRNA from 1 species
GGGCUGGUAGCUCAGUUUGGCAGAGCGACGGACUCUUAAUCCGUCGGUCGCGUGUUCGAAUCGCGCUCAGCCCG